GGGGCCUUAGCUCAUCUGGAAGAGCGCCUGCUUUGCAAGCAGGAGGUGGCCGGUUCGAGUCCGGCAGGCUCCA
rnacentral:tRNA from 1 species